rnacentral:rRNA from 1 species
UACGUAGGUGGCAAGCGUUGUCCGGAUUUAUUGGGCGUAAAGCGCGCGCAGGCGGUUCGUUAAGUCCGGUGUAAAACCUCCCGGCUCAACUGGGAGCAGCCAUUGGAUACUGGCGGACUUGAGGCAGGCAGAGGAAGGUGGAAUUCCCGGUGUAGUGGUGAAAUACGUAGAUAUCGGGAGGAACACCAGUGGCGAAGGCGGCCUUCUGGGCCUGUCCUGACGCUGAGGCGCGAAAGCGUGGGGAGCGAACCGG